UACGUAGGGCGCAAGCGUUGUCCGGAAUUAUUGGGCGUAAAGAGCUCGUAGGUGGUUUGUUACGUCUGCUGUGAAAACCUAGGGCUUAACCCUGGGCCUGCAGUGGAUACGGGCAGACUAGAGGUAGGUAGGGGAGAAUGGAAUUCCCGGUGUAGCGGUGAAAUGCGCAGAUAUCGGGAGGAACACCGGUGGCGAAGGCGGUUCUCUGGGCAUGUCCUGACGCUGAGGAGCGAAAGUGUGGGGAGCGAACAGG
rnacentral:rRNA from 1 species